rnacentral:lncRNA from 1 species
GGAGGGUGAAUGAAGCGAGGAGGAGGCGGCGGCGGCGGGGGAGGCGGCGCUGGCGCUGGGAUGUGCCCGGCAGCAGCCCCGCUUCUCUUCACUCAGGGCCCAGGCCGGCUGCAGACGCCACCCGUGAAAAGGUCAAGAAAAGCAGUAGCUCAGUGGCUGAAUUUUUCUGAAGUGCUUUACAGCAGGGAAAGUGGGGAAACCUCUUAAAGUGGCGUCUUAUUCAGUAAGUUAAACCCUUUUUCCUUCAGUUAAUUAAUUAAUUAAUUUUCUUUAAAUUUUUUCAAAUCCUAUGUAUCAGAAUAAUUAUAGUUACUUAGAAGGUGUCCCCAGGAAGGUGUGAAUCCUCAUCGCUACCGUGGCUUUCCCCCUCCCCCAGUAGUCUUUGCCAAAUGAAACCUGUCAGCCCACUUUGGCAGAUACAGAAGUGUGCAGCUGACUCAAACCCUACCACAACGUGACUGUCCCUCUGCCCCUGCUGGGGCUGGUCGCUGCAUUCCUGUUCAGAGAUGUGCCCCAUCGAGUGUGCGCCUCUUUCUUCAGCACUUACCCUGCAUGUGUGUGUGUGCACCCACACACUUCAGCUGUGCCCCCCCCCC